UCUUUUUCUCCGUGCCAGUUCUAUAUUUGGCCUCAGCCCUUGCGGUUGCGGCAUUGCCCACUCUUUCUUCCAGACGCCUGUUAUGCCUAUAUGGGCAUCGGUGACUAAGAUACUCAAUUGAGUAAAGGAGAUCAGAGUCUGUCUGGAAUGAAGUCUUGCUUCUCCAGCUCCACCAGAGCAUUUAGAAAGAGUUCGGGAAUCAAGUAAGAGCAAACAGAAACAGACUGUAACCUUACAGGUGCAGCCACGAAGGCUUGUUCCUCCACCGCUGUAGCUCUUGUUCUUCUUCCUUCUCAGAGGUCGAUUCAGCAGCUUCACUCCAAGGUUAGUGCUUGUAUUGCAGGUGAUAAUCCUGAGAUGGCUUCUUGUGGCCCAGCCUCCGGAGGGAUAGCUUCGCUCCUGGGUUCCAUAGCAGGCUCCAUCUCGGUUGUGGAUCUAAUCAGCUCCAUCAGACAGACCGCUUACCUAGAGCGUGGAGAGGGCGAGGCCGCUGCUUCCACAGCAGGACAGGAGUAGAAGUGAGUGCUUCCGUCCUUUCUCCCACAGGUUCUUGUGUGGUUAUAGAUAGCCGUUUGUAUUUCUUCGUCGACAUCCUCUUAAUCACUGUCCUGUACAGUAUCAUGAAGGGGUGACUCUUCCGACUCUUUCAGGAACUACCGCACGCUCUUCUUCAACAGGAGGUUCCACCUCUCUCUCAGGAGCAUCCUCCUGCUGGACUUCCCGGUUCUUGGAGGUCUCUUGCUUUGAAAGGCCGUCGGAUUUUCCAACAGCGGAGCUUGCGCCCCGGACACGCUGGAUAAGCAAUUGAAUCGUGCCCGGAGGAAUCUGGCUCUAACCUUAGUCAAAUUCAAAUUCACUCUUUGUGCUAGCAAAUGAGCAUAAUGAAAUUCUUGGCCCUCUCUCAUCAAAGACAAGAUUAUGAAAGUUGAACAAGUGGACAACUCCGCGAUGGAUAUAACUGAAUGGAUGGCCUCCGCAAUUGUCCUCCAUGGGUUGGGCAUCACAGAGAACUGGGGUCCGUGGCUCUGUGGGGGUGCGAACGUACCAGUUCCUCACAAACCGCAUUAUCUCCAUCACCAGUAAAAGGCAUAUGUACGCCCAGGUCGACCUUCCAACGUCUUAACGUAGACCCUGCUUAACCCAGUAGCUUCUGCGACUGAUGCCUCGGAGACUUUAACUUAUCAAUUUCUGACAGUGGCUGUUCUGGUCACUGCAUCAUACGAGGCCAAGACUUCUCUCACUUCAGCAUCCUCAAAUUCCAAAUCCAACCCCAACCCAUGGUAACAUACUCGUGCGCUUCCGGCUAUCUCUGGCAUAGGAUCAAGAAUCGUUCCAGCAGGCACUUCUCCUGUUUGAGCAUAACUCGCCCGGGCACUCGGGAAACGAAAAAGGUCUGGGAUUCGACACAGGGAAAGACUAAAGGGAAUUGCAUAGAGAGUGGAUAGGAGGGUGGUAGGAGGUGUGCUGAAUAGGUGCGGGUCAAGUCUCUCAAGGGUCGUGUUUACGAGCAGUCAUAAUUGCUUUCGAACUUCUCUUUUUCAAAUGAUGAAAGGUCAUACCAUUCUUUCUCCUUG
rnacentral:lncRNA from 1 species